rnacentral:rRNA from 1 species
CGAACGGGUGAGUAAUACAUCGGAACAUGUCCUGUAGUGGGGGAUAGCCCGGCGAAAGCCGGAUUAAUACCGCAUACGAUCUACGGAUGAAAGCGGGGGACCUUCGGGCCUCGCGCUAUAGGGUUGGCCGAUGGCUGAUUAGCUAGUUGGUGGGGUAAAGGCCUACCAAGGCGACGAUCAGUAGCUGGUCUGAGAGGACGACCAGCCACACUGGGACUGAGACACGGCCCAGACUCCUACGGGAGGCAGCAGUGGGGA